AGCAGUAGCCACGGUAAUACGUAGGUCCCGAGCGUCGUCCGGAUUUAUUGGGCGUAAAGCGAGCGCAGGCGGUUAGAUAAGUCUGAAGUUAAAGGCUGUGGCUUAACCAUAGUACGCUUUGGAAACCGUUUAACUUGAGUGCAAGAGGGGAGAGUGGAAUUCCAUGUGUAGCGGUGAAAUGCGUAGAUAUAUGGAGGAACACCGGUGGCGAAAGCGGCUCUCUGGUCUGUAACUGACGCUGAGGCUCGAAAGCGUGGGGAGCGAACGGGAUUAGAUACCCCCGUAGUCCCUGUCUCUUAUACA
rnacentral:rRNA from 1 species